rnacentral:lncRNA from 1 species
AUGCUUCAGCUUAGACAUUAUUUCACUCUGUAUUUUACUCUGCUCUGUUCCACAUUCAGAUUGAUUCCAUGUGUUCUCUGUUCCACAUUCAGAUGGAUUCCAUGUGUUCUCUGUUCCACGUUCAGAUUGAUUCCAUAUGUUCUCUGUUCCACGUUCAGAUUGAUUCCAUGUGUUCUCUGUUCCACGUUCAGAUUGAUUCCAUGUGUUCUCUGUUCCACAUUCAGAUUGAUUCCAUGUGUUCUCUGUUCCACGUUCAGAUUGAUUCCAUGUGUUCUCUGUUCCACGUUCAGAUUGAUUCCAUGUGUUCUCUGUUCCACAUUCAGAUUGAUUCCAUGUGUUCUCUGUUCCACAUUCAGAUUGAUUCCAUGUGUUCUCUGUUCCACGUUCAGAUUGAUUCCAUGUGUUCUCUGUUCCACAUUCAGAUUGAUUCCAUGUGUUCUCUGUUCCACAUUCAGAUUGAUUCCAUGUGUUCUCUGUUCCACGUUCAGAUUGAUUCCAUGUGUUCUCUGUUCCACAUUCAGAUUGAUUCCAUGUGUUCUCUGUUCCACGUUCAGAUUGAUUCCAUGUGUUCUCUGUUCCACGUUCAGAUUGAUUCCAUGUGUUCUCUGUUCCACAUUCAGAUUGAUUCCAUGUGUUCUCUGUUCCACGUUCAGAUUGAUUCCAUGUGUUCUCUGUUCCACAUUCAGAUUGAUUCCAUGUGUUCUCUGUUCCACAUUCAGUUUGAUUCCAUGUGUUCUCUGUUCCACAUUCAGAUUGAUUCCAUGUGUUCUCUGUUCCACGUUCAGAUUGAUUCCAUGUUCUCUGUUCUACAUUCAGAUUGAUUCCAUGUGUUCUCUGUUCCACAUUCAGAUUGAUUCCAUGUGUUCUCUGUUCUACAUUCAGAUUGAUUCCAUGUGUUCUCUGUUCCACAUUCAGAUUGAUUCCAUGUGUUCUCUGUUCCACAUUCAGAUUGAUUCCAUGUGUUCUCUGUUCCACAUUCAGAUUGAUUCCAUGUGUUCUCUGUUCUACAUUCAGAUUGAUUCCAUGUGUUCUCUGUUCCACAUUCAGAUUGAUUCCAUGUGUUCUCUGUUCUACGUUCAGAUUGAUUCCAUGUGUUCUCUGUUGCUGCCAAUCACGUCCUUUUUUAACCUUCAGCUAGCCUUACUGAUCUAUAAUAACUGGUGCUCUUUAGCUAAUACCUCCUAA